rnacentral:rRNA from 1 species
UACAGAGGGUGCGAGCGUUAAUCGGAAUUACUGGGCGUAAAGCGUGCGUAGACGGUAGCGUAAGUCAGAUGUGAAAGCCCCGGGCUCAACCUGGGAAUUGCAUUUGAGACUGCGUAGCUAGGGUGCGGAAGAGGGAAGCGGAAUUUCCGGUGUAGCGGUGAAAUGCGUAGAUAUCGGAAGGAACACCAGUGGCGAAAGCGGCUUCCUGGUCCAGCACCGACAUUCAGGCACGAAAGCGUGGGGAGCAAACAGG